CCCUUAGAUGUUCUGGGCCGCACGCGCGCUACACUGUCGGAUUCAGCGAGUCUUAACCUUAACCGAAAGGUUUGGGUAAUCUUUUGAAACAUCGUCGUGCUGGGGAUAGAUCAUUGCAAUUUUUGAUCUUGAACGAGGAAUUCCUAGUAAGCGCGAGUCAUCAGCUCGCGUUGAUUACGUCCCUGCCCUUUGUACACACCGCCCGUCGCUACUACCGAUUGAAUGGUUUAGUGAGGACUCCUGAUUGGCGCCGCCGCCCCGGCAACGGAGCAGCGGACUGCCGAAAAGUUGUUCAAACUUGAUCAUUUAGAGGAAGUAAAAGUCGUAACA
rnacentral:rRNA from 1 species